UACGGGGGGAGCAAGCGUUGUUCGGAAUUACUGGGCGUAAAGAGCUCGUAGGCGGCUUGUCGCGUUGUUCGUGAAAAUUUACCGCUCAACGGUGAACUUGCGGGCGAUACGGGCAGGCUAGAGUACUGCGAGGGGAGACUGGAAGUUCCUGGUGUAGCGGUGAAAUGCGUAGAUAUCUGGAGGAACACCGGUGGCGAAGGCGGCAUCCUGGACCGAGAUUGACGCUGAGGCGCGAAAGCCAGGGGAGCAAAGCGGG
rnacentral:rRNA from 1 species